GUAUAUGAGGUGAUUAAUUGGAGGGCAAAUCAAGUGCCAGCAGCCGCGGUAAUACUUGUUCCAAGAGUGUGUAUGAUGAUUGAUGCAGUUAAAAAGUCCGUAGUUUAUUUUUUAAGAAGCAAUAUGAGGUGUACUGUAUAGUUGGGAGAAAGAUGAAAUGUGACGACCCUGACUGGACGAACAGAAGCGAAAGCUGUACACUUGUAUGUAUUUUUUGAACAAGGACGUAAGCUGGAGGAGCGAAGAUGAUUAGAUACCAUUGUAGUUCCAGCGGUAAACUAUGCCGACGAUGUGAUAUGAAAAUGUUAAUUUGUAUUACAUAAUAGAAAUUUGAGUUUUUUGGCUCUGGGGAUAGUAUGAUCGCAAGAUUGAAAAUUAAAGAAAUUGACGGAAGAAUACCACAAGGAGUGGAUUGUGCGGCUUAAUUUGACUCAACGCGAGGUAACUUACCAAUAUUUUAUUAUUUUGGGAGAACGAUUUUUUGUUUGAGAAUGAUAAUAGUGGUGCAUGGCCGUUUUCAAUGGAUGCUGUGAAGUUUUGAUUAAUUUCAACAAGACGUGAGACCCUUAUUUUUUAUUAAAGACAGACACAAUCAGUGUAGGAAGGAAAGGAUUAAAACAGGUCCGUUAUGCCCUCUGACAUUUUGGGCUGCACGCGCAAUACAAUAGAUAUA
rnacentral:rRNA from 1 species